AUCCUGAGCCUUAGAUAGAUAAUAAAAUUGGAAUGAUACAGAGAAGAUUAGCAUGGCCCCUGCACAAAGAUGACAUGUGAAUUCAUGAAGCAUUCUAUAUUUUU